rnacentral:lncRNA from 10 species
AGGCCGGUGCCGGCGUCAGCGCUGGGCUCUCUGACUGAGGGAAGGAGCGGCGAGUCCGGAGUCGGAGAUGCCUAAUUCAGCCGGGAGCCGCGGGCCGGAGCUGGCUGAAGAAGCUACUCAAGGAUGUGCUCCACCAAAAUGAGGAUAUGAAGCCAAUAUAAAGGAAGGCAAUGAAUACAAGAGACAGGCAAAGGGAGUUCCCAGGACAUAAGCAAGGGACGUCCCAGGUAGCAAGUGUGCACCUGGUGUCCAGGGCCAUCUGUCCAGGUAAUGCAUGUUAUAAGGUGUAAGGGGAGAUAUUUUUCAGGAGGGUAAAAAUAAAAGAAUUCCUGAUGCAUCUGAAUAUUUUAAGAAAAAGGGCAUGGUAACACAUGCCUGUAAUCCCAGUU